rnacentral:rRNA from 1 species
GACGAACGCUGGCGGCGUGCUUAACACAUGCAAGUCGAGCGAACAAAGCUCCUCCGGGAGUGGAGUUAGCGGCGGACGGGCGAGUAACACGUGGGUAACCUGCCUUAUAGAGGGGGAUAGCCUUCCGAAAGGAAGAUUAAUACCGCAUAAGAAGUAGAAGUCGCAUGGCUUUAGCUUUAAAGGAGCAAUCCGCUAUAAGAUGGACCCGCGGCGCAUUAGCUAGUUGGUGAGGUAACGGCUCACCAAGGCGACGAUGCGUAGCCGACCUGAGAGGGUGAUCGGCCACAUUGGAACUGAGACACGGUCCAGACUCCUACGGGAGGCAGCAGUGGGGAAUAUUGCACAAUGGGCGAAAGCCUGAUGCAGCAACGCCGCGUGGGUGAUGAAGGUUUUCGGAUCGUAAAGCCCUGUCUUUUGGGAUGAUAAUGACGGUACCAAAGGAGGAAGCCACGGCUAACUACGUGCCAGCCGCCGCGGUAA